AUGAAAUAAAUGGAUCGCCCACGUGACGUUACGCCAAACACGUGGUUUGUAACGCAAUGUGAUCCGUGGAAAUUUGCCCACCACAGGAUAAAAGUAAUUAUUCCUAUUCAGAAAACAGUGAGAAUUUUGAAAAGUUAUUUUCUUUGACUAAGUCACUUCCGUUAGCAAUCUUUUUUCGUAAGUUAAUGUGUGCACCUCUACAGAUUGUUUGUGAGUGACAAUAUUUGACCGGGGCUCCAUACUGAGCAUGUGGAAAUGCAGUUAUCAUACUUAGACAGUAGUACUAUUAACAAGAACAGUAGCAACAUCAACAACACCUAAAUGUACUGAUGCAGAGUAUGCAGAUAUUCAUUUUGUUUGUGAUUUUUGCAAAGGAAAUUCUCUUGCUGCAAUGACAAAAUAUCAGCAAGAUACGCAGAUCAAAGACAACAUUACUGACAUGUAUUCAAAACAGUGCAUCAUAAUCUGAAAGAAAUAGGCACUCUCGUACAUGAUGUCCAUGGAAGAUGCAAUAUGUAGGAUGUGGGGACUAUGUUGGAUAUUGUACACAAUAACCCAUCAACCAGCAACUGUCAUAUUUCUUCAGUAACAGGACAACUUUAUCAGAGUGCAGUAUGGCAUACUCUACAUGAGAAUCAAUUGUAUCCUUUCCCUAUACAACAGUAUAAGGACUGCAAACAUCUCCGUCCACAGUUCUCUCGAAGAGUGCUAUACAAAAUUGUGGACACCUUUCAAUUUCUGUGUUGUGUUGUGGACUGAUGAGGCAGUAAUUACAAGAAGCGGAGUCACAAUGAACACAAUUUGCAUGUAUGACACUGAAGAAUUCUCAUAUUACUCAAUACUUCUUAGUCCAACACAGAUGGUAGGGCACAGUACACUAAUUUUCUUGAAGAAAUAAUUCCACUUUCAUUGGAGAAUGUGAUUCGGUGGGUAUAAGAGCAUGUGGUUAGUGGUGCUCCUCCUAUUUUCCACAAUAAGUGUACAACUGGUUUGACAACUUUCCAGACAGAAGGAUUUUGAUAGGAUGACGAAUUGUCUGGCCUCCAUAUUCUCCUGAGCUGACACCCCUAGGUUUUUAUUUGUGGGGAUACAUGAAGGAAAAAGUUAAUGCCACCAAACUUCAGGACUGCAACAAUCCAAUCACAUUAAGGUGGUGGCUGCUGACUAGUCUCCAUAAAGCGCCAAAUUCGACACCAUUGUGAGAAAUCUGUUUAGGCAGAGAAAGGACACUUCGCACAUUUGUUGUGAUUGUGUACAGUGUUUUCAGUGUGCUGACAAGUUCCCACCACAUUAACAGAAAAUUACUCAAAAAGAAGUACUCUGAAGUGACAACUAAAAAUGCAACAAAUU